rnacentral:rRNA from 1 species
AACGUAGGAGACGAACGUUAUCCGGAGUUACUGGGCGUAAAGGGCGUGUAGGCGGUUUGUUAAGUCUGGCGUGAAAGCUCUCGGCUAAACCGGGAGAGGUCGUUGGAUACUGGCGAACUAGAGGAUGGUAGAGGCGCGUGGAAUUCCGGGUGUAGUGGUGAAAUGCGUAGAGAUCCGGAGGAACACCAGUGGCGAAGGCGACACGCUGGGCCAUACCUGACGCUAAAGCGCGACAGCAUGGGGAGCAAACGGG